GUUUAAACGAGUCAUAUGCAUUUGCUAAGGAUAUUUUAGUACGAAUGGAAAAACGACUGAAAAUAGGCCGAUACGGGGAACAAGAUGGCGGAAAUAAAGGUGUCGGCAUGAGACAAGAAGCGCAUCUGUAACCUGGGCCAACCGAUAUGAGCAAAGCCAUCAUCUUGGCUGCAUACAAUGACAAGCCGGAGAUGAAUAGAGUUCAGUUCGCUACAUCCUCAUCGGGUACAUAGGAUUUGUUACUAAAGGGAGAUGAUGUGUUUAGUAGUAGUAGUAGUAGUAGUAGUAGUAGUAGUAGUAGUAGUUGCAUUAGUAGUAGUAGUAGUAGUAGUUGUAGUAGUAGCAAUAGUAGUAGUUGUUGUGGUAGUAGUAGUAGUAGAAGUAGUAGUAGUAGUAGUAGUAGUAGUAGUAGUAGGAGUAGUAGUAGUAGUAUUAGUAUUAGUAUUAGUAGUAGUAGUAGUAGUAGUAGUAGUAGUAGUAGUAGUAGUAGUAGUAGUAGUAGUAGUAGUAGUAGUAGUAGUAGUAGUAGUAGUAGUAGUAGUAGUAGUAGUAGUAGUAGUAGUAGUAGUAGUAGUAGUAGUAGUAGUAGUAGUAGUAGUAGUAGUAGUAGUAGUAGUAGUAGUAGUAGUAGUAGUAGUAGUAGUAGUAGUAGUAGUAGUAGUAGUAGUAGUAGUAGUAGUAGUAGUAGUAGUAGUAGUAGUAGUAGUAGUAGUAGUAGUAGUAGUAGUAGUAGUAGUAGUAGUAGUAGUCGUAGCAGUAGUAGUAGUAGUAGUAGUAGUAGUAGUCGUAGUAGUAGUAAUAGCAGUAAUUGCAGUAGUAGUAGAAGUAGCAGUAGAAGAAGUAGAAGAAGUAAUUAUAUUAGUAGUUUUUUAUUCUAAUUUGUAUAACCUGGCCCGAUGAAGUCCACAGCAAACUACAUCUCACCAGUUCCAAGAAGACGCAAACAUAAGAGCAAGACAUAAAAGUCAUCCAAGACAGUUGAGUCUAAAAAGGACCCUUCGACUUUACAGACGAAUGAAGAUUCCGGGGAGCCAACAGAUCUCAAGCAAACACAUAAUUAAGGCACUUUAUAUGGUCUGUUGUUAGUUUGCUAUUCUUAUGGUGGUGCUUAUGAGUUUUCUACUAUUUAUUUUGCGUCAAGACAGCUGUUAUAUAUAUAUAACGUUCAAAUACGUCUUGAAUAUUGAAUAAUUUUAUAAAUAAAAUUUUGCUACAUUUUAUCUCGACGAAUGUUGUUAAUCUAACAGUUGAACGUAACUUCAAAUUCAAUUAAAACUUUCUUAAGAGAAUAUCGUUUGAAAAAGUGUCCUCUUCACCUUUAUUAAUAAAUAAAUUAUAGUAAAACACUUUUGUAACUGAUUUGUAAAUUUCAAAUAUUGUUGAAUCGAAAGCUAUUUGUUAUAACACUAUACAAAAGUGUGUUUAUUUAACUUUACUUAUAAAAAAGAAUGUUAUAAUUUAAAAGUUUAGGGGUAAAGUGAAUUUUGUUUAGUGUAUGGCAAUACACAUUUAUAAAUGACGAAUCUCUUUAUCUUAAAGGGACCUGUUUACGAUUAAGCAAAUUGACAAAAUAGUUUAAGAUUUGCACAUUUUCAUUGUUGUUCUGAUAAUUGCGAGAAAAUAGUAAUACUAAACAUUAACCAUGCUUUAAAAUAUGCUUUAAAGGCAUAUACAUUUGAUGUGUGUGUUAAAUGUACUUCGCGAAUAGCUGCGUAUCAAGUGGUUAUUAUUUAAUCCUAAACGCAUUUCAAGUGUAGUAGGUAUCCUUCGAAGGCUACCGAUCCUGGGGAUUCAUAUGAACUGAAUAUUUUAGCACAUUUCAUAAUACACUGACAUCUACGGUUUAUAUAAAAAAGCAAGAUUUGUUUACGUGCAAUUUUUCUGUACAUGUAACGCGUUCAAUUCCGGGGAGACAACCUGAUCUUAAUGUUCAAACAAGCGAUGCGAAAACAGUUUAAGCUAUUAGUAAAAUACAUUUUCAUGACCUAACAUACAUAAACUAAUUUUUUGAGUGCAUGUAGAUCACGAUAUAAUGUAUUGAAUUAUUUUUCGGCACUAUACAUUUAUACUUAAACAAUUCUUUUUGCCGAAAAAAUAACACAAAGUCGUAUGAUGAUAAAUAUUAAAACAUCCAAAUUCUUCUUGAAUAGAUCUCGGUGUAUUUCACAAUUCGAGAUAAAAAGACAUGCUUUUCAGAUAUCUUAAACUGAGUCUAUUUCAAUUGUUUAACCGCUCGAUUUAUGGCAUUGUAACCAAAAAUAUACUUCAAUGUUAAUAUAUAUGCCAGCAAACAACUAAGUAUAUGAUUUAGAUGCAUAAUAGUAAUGUAUUAUAUUUUUCUUUUUGUUUAGUUGAUUAUCCAAAUUAAUUUCAACAAAGUCAUCCUGCCUUUACCCGCGUGAGUAAUAUGAAUUCACUUCUUAUGUGUUGUAAACGUAAAUCAUUGGUAAUGAUUUUUCCCAUACAGUUUAAGGGAGGCUACUAUAAUAAAAACUACUAUUUUAUUUAAUGUUGGAUAGCAUUUAGCGGUUACCCGUGUGUUUGUUGUUAUAUGUAUUUGUAUCAUAAAAUACUUUAUGAUGAGUGUACAACUGAAAAUAGAUUAAAUUAAAUUAGUUUUGACUCCAAUAUAUUAUGCCUUUUUUAUUCAAUGUUUACAAUUGCAGCCUUAGGUUUUUUUUUCAAUAUGUAUACAGUCAUAUUAAAAACUCCGAUCUAAAAAAGCAGUUAUAACAAUCAAAUUUGUUUCACAUGCUCACCAUCAAGUGCGUCAGAUGUAAGCGAAACAAAGUAAGAUCAAACUAUUUUGAAAACUACGUUUACUAAACAAUAAAAAUGUGUUUUAUAUGACUUGCAACGUGCAAACUACUAAAGGGAAAUAAUUUAUUAAACUGAAAUAGUGAUCAUAUGUAUACUUCAUUUGUAUGAAUUGCAUGCAGAUAUUUUGUUACAAUAUUACAUUACUAUGCAAUAAAUGUAUCCUUAAA